rnacentral:rRNA from 1 species
UACGUAGGGUCCGAGCGUUGUCCGGAAUUAUUGGGCGUAAAGAGCUCGUAGGCGGCCUGUCGCGUCUGCUGUGAAAGUCCGGGGCUUAACUUCGGGUGUGCAGUGGAUACGGGCAGGCUUGAGGUAGGUAGGGGAGACUGGAAUUCCUGGUGUAGCGGUGAAAUGCGCAGAUAUCAGGAGGAACACCGGUGGCGAAGGCGGGUCUCUGGGCCUUACCUGACGCUGAGGAGCGAAAGCGUGGGGAGCGAACAGGGAUUAGAUACCCGCGUAGUCCCU